UGAAGAGUUUGAUCAUGGCUCAGAUUGAACGCUGGCGGCAGGCCUAACACAUGCAAGUCGAACGGUAACAGGAAGCAGCUUGCUGCUUUGCUGACGAGUGGCGGACGGGUGAGUAAUGUCUGGGAAACUGCCUGAUGGAGGGGGAUAACUACUGGAAACGGUGGCUAAUACCGCAUAACGUCGCAAGACCAAAGAGGGGGACCUUCGGGCCUCUUGCCAUCAGAUGUGCCCAGAUGGGAUUAGCUUGUUGGUGAGGUAACGGCUCACCAAGGCGACGAUCCCUAGCUGGUCUGAGAGGAUGACCAGCCACACUGGAACUGAGACACGGUCCAGACUCCUACGGGAGGCAGCAGUGGGGAAUAUUGCACAAUGGGCGCAAGCCUGAUGCAGCCAUGCCGCGUGUAUGAAGAAGGCCUUCGGGUUGUAAAGUACUUUCAGCGGGGAGGAAGGUGUUGUGGUUAAUAACCGCAGCAAUUGACGUUACCCGCAGAAGAAGCACCGGCUAACUCCGUGCCAGCAGCCGCGGUAAUACGGAGGGUGCAAGCGUUAAUCGGAAUUACUGGGCGUAAAGCGCACGCAGGCGGUCUGUCAAGUCGGAUGUGAAAUCCCCGGGCUCAACCUGGGAACUGCAUUCGAAACUGGCAGGCUUGAGUCUUGUAGAGGGGGGUAGAAUUCCAGGUGUAGCGGUGAAAUGCGUAGAGAUCUGGAGGAAUACCGGUGGCGAAGGCGGCCCCCUGGACAAAGACUGACGCUCAGGUGCGAAAGCGUGGGGAGCAAACAGGAUUAGAUACCCUGGUAGUCCACGCCGUAAACGAUGUCUACUUGGAGGUUGUGCCCUUGAGGCGUGGCUUCCGGAGCUAACGCGUUAAGUAGACCGCCUGGGGAGUACGGCCGCAAGGUUAAAACUCAAAUGAAUUGACGGGGGCCCGCACAAGCGGUGGAGCAUGUGGUUUAAUUCGAUGCAACGCGAAGAACCUUACCUGGUCUUGACAUCCACAGAAGAAUCCAGAGAUGGAUUUGUGCCUUCGGGAACUGUGAGACAGGUGCUGCAUGGCUGUCGUCAGCUCGUGUUGUGAAAUGUUGGGUUAAGUCCCGCAACGAGCGCAACCCUUAUCCUUUGUUGCCAGCGGUUAGGCCGGGAACUCAAAGGAGACUGCCAGUGAUAAACUGGAGGAAGGUGGGGAUGACGUCAAGUCAUCAUGGCCCUUACGACCAGGGCUACACACGUGCUACAAUGGCGCAUACAAAGAGAAGCGACCUCGCGAGAGCAAGCGGACCUCAUAAAGUGCGUCGUAGUCCGGAUUGGAGUCUGCAACUCGACUCCAUGAAGUCGGAAUCGCUAGUAAUCGUGGAUCAGAAUGCCACGGUGAAUACGUUCCCGGGCCUUGUACACACCGCCCGUCACACCAUGGGAGUGGGUUGCAAAAGAAGUAGGUAGCUUAACCUUCGGGAGGGCGCUUACCACUUUGUGAUUCAUGACUGGGGUGAAGUCGUAACAAGGUAACCGUAGGGGAACCUGCGGUUGGAUCACCUCCUUACCUUAAAGAA
rnacentral:rRNA from 1 species